UGACUGCGGAGGACAUUACCAAUCAUGUCUCCCAGCUGCAAGGCUGGUGCAGGCGUUUAACCCUUUGUGAACCAAAAAACCUUUCGCUUCGGCAGCAGCUCGGUUGGAAACAGCCUCUGUGUCAGCCUGCCGGCAGCACCAUUUAUCAAAACUUGCAGUUAGCAACAUUGUCUGAUUACCAAAUUUUCGAAUGAAAAUUAAAACUUUCAACAACGGAUCUCUUGGUUCCCGCAUCGAUGAAGAACGCAGCGAAACGCGAUAGUUAAUGUGAAUUGCAGAAUUCAGUGAAUCAUCGAGUCUUUGAACGCACAUUGCGCCCAUUGGUAUUCCAUUGGGCAUGUCUGUUUGAGCGUCAUUACAACCCUCGGUCACCACCGGUUUUGAGCGAGCAGGGUCUCAGGAUCCAGCUGGCUUUAAAGUUGUAAGCUCUGCUGGCUGCCCGGCCCAACCAGAACAUAGUAAAAUCAUGCUUGUUCAAGGUUCGCGGUCGAAGCGGUACGGCCUGAACAAUACCUACCACCUCUUAGGUUUGACCUCAGAUCAGACAAGGAUACCCGCUGAACUUAAGCAUAUCAAUAAGCGGAGGAAAAGAAACCAACAGGGAUUGCCUCAGUAACGGCGAGUGAAGCGGCAAAAGCUCAAAUUUGAAAUCUGGAGCCUUCGGCUUCCGAGUUGUAAUU
rnacentral:rRNA from 1 species